rnacentral:rRNA from 1 species
UGGGGAAUAUUGGACAAUGGGCGAAAGCCUGAUCCAGCCAUGCCGCGUGUGUGAAGAAGGUCUUCGGAUUGUAAAGCACUUUAAGUUGGGAGGAAGGGCAGUAAGCGAAUACCUUGCUGUUUUGACGUUACCGACAGAAUAAGCACCGGCUAACUCUGUGCCAGCAGCCGCGGUAAUACAGAGGGUGCAAGCGUUAAUCGGAAUUACUGGGCGUAAAGCGCGCGUAGGUGGUUCGUUAAGUUGAAUGUGAAAGCCCCGGGCUCAACCUAGGAACUGCAACCAAAACUGGCGAGCUAGAGUAGGGCAGAGGGUGGUGGAAUUUCCUGUGUAGCGGUGGAAUGCGUAGAUAUAGGAAAGAACACCAGUGGGGAAGGCGACCACCUGGGCUCAUACUGACACUGAGGUGCGAAAGCGUGGGGGGCAAACAGG